GCUGGACCGAGGCGGUGGCAGCGCGGCAUCUCCCCCAGCCCGGAGAGCUUUGGGACAGCUGCCUUCCUGCGGGACAGACGCUCACUGCGCUGGAAUUCGCCGGGACAGACGGCAGAGGGCACGAGUGAAUGCCUUAAGCAUCGGGGCUUGCUUCCGAAGGGAACCUGAAUUUCUCUGAAGAGGUUGUUCAUACCACGCUAUGUUUUUCAGUGGAGGACAAGGAGCCUGCUGCUGACCUGCAGGGUAAUUGCAAUAAAAAAGAAAUGCCAGCUGCAGACAAACUGGGGAAAACUGACUAAUGAACCUUAACAUGUAUAUUGAGUCUGCAAGAAGAAGAAAGAAAGAUGUAUCACUGGGGGAUGGGACUCACCUUCAAAGAGGUAAAUAUCAAGUGCAAAAGCAGGGGAUCAUUAAAUGAGGUGAUACAGCAUGGCUGUUCAUAUUGGUGUCCACAGCUGUUUUCUUUCUCCUGUUAUGAUCAAUGUUCACUUAUUGAUGACUGCUUCAGCUGCAUUAAAAACAUUUGA